UAGGCCUACGGGGCGCAGCAGUGAGGAAUAUUGGUCAAUGGCCGAGAGGCUGAACCAGCCAAGUCGCGUGAGGGAAGACGGCCCUACGGGUUGUAAACCUCUUUUGUCGGGGAGCAAAGCGAGUCACGUGUGACUCAUUGAGAGUACCCGAAGAAAAAGCAUCGGCUAACUCCGUGCCAGCAGCCGCGGUAAUACGGAGGAUGCGAGCGUUAUCCGGAUUUAUUGGGUUUAAAGGGUGCGCAGGCUGAGGUGCAAGUCAGCGGUCAGAUUGCAGGGCUCAACCCCGUACUGCC
rnacentral:rRNA from 1 species